rnacentral:lncRNA from 1 species
CUCUAUUUUCUUCUUCUCUAUUCUUUAUUAUCCUUCUUCUCUAUUCUUUAUUAUUUUAUAACAAGUUAUCAGUACGAGACUCUUUAAAACAAGGUGAGAUUAUAUUUCAAGGUUAGUAAUUUCUUAUGUUAUUUAUCUUUUGCUACUAAUAAUAUAAUUAUUGUUGGAUUUGAGGAAAAAUAAUUGGUUUGGAACCAUUUAUGUUUUAAAUUUAUUCCUCAAGAACAAUAUUAUCAGAAGGGAUGAUAAUAUGUUGGGUUCAAGUCCCAUCAAUUUAUAUCUAAGACGUUUUUAUAUGGAUAAGACAUUGAGAUUGGAUCUCAAUGCAUGCAUUGAUGAUAUUAUAAUGGCCAAGGCAAAAUAAUGGGUAUUUGAUGAAAAGUCAUGAAAUAUAUCUCAUUGACAUGCUCUAUUCCCUGAAUUGAAUGUGGUAGCAAUAAACCACAUGUAUGCCUCAAUUUGCUUUUGUAGUAGCUAUCAUAAUUUGAUGCGCUUAAGGCAUGAUUAUAUUACGUGCACUUGAUUGUGAUGGUAUCACAACUCACCUCCGAAUGAGGUAGAAUAACUGAGAAGAGUAAUUUCAAAAUCUUCUUCUAAAGUAGUAAAUCUAAAAUUUAUUCAUGUAAUAGUAAAUCUGAAAUUUACUAAAGAAAAAAGUACAUGUCAUGGUAAAUUUGGAGUUUACUAGAAUAAAAGUUCAUAAAUUGAUAUGAACGAUUGUAACAUCUCGAAGAUGUGCAUAUUGAAUAUUAGACAUGUAUUGAAGAACUAUAAGAUUCUUCGAGAAUUGUUUAUGUUACUUGUUCUCAUGAUAAGUUGAUUGGACCAACUAAUGUUGCGAUUGAAUUUCUUAAAUCUGGAAAAUAUAAAAGGUGAAUAUGAGCCCGUUCACCUAUCAUGUGAUAUGCUGAAAAGAUGCAUCAAUAAGAUGAUCACAUGUACAUUCAUUGUCAACUUGCAGUUUGACAUUCAUAAAGUUGUUUGCUCAAUAAAAUUAAGUUAAGAACAUAAUUUUUAGAUUGUGCAAUCAAGAAAGUUAUCUUGAUGAUGAUGGUUUGGCAUUGAAUGCUUCGAUAAAUAACUAAACCAUCGCUAUGUUGCAUACAAUAACACUUAUAUGCAUUAGACCAAUAAAUUAUGAUUAUUUCUUCCCCCUCAAUUGGUUCAAGGUCAUGAACCAACUAUUCCAUCUAAUAGUUUUAAUGUGCGGUAUACGAUUAAUGAAUAUACCAUGAUGCACAAAGAUGGAUUCCUCAAAGAAGAUAGAGGAUGUAUGUUAGUUUUCCUAACGUAAAGGGGAGAUUAUAAGCAGAUAUGAAAUAUGUUAGAAUUAUCACCAGAUCCUCAUUCAAAAGAUAAUUUAAGUCAAAUGCCGAAAGAUUUCAUAUUUAAGCUGCAAGUGCUUUUAUUUUGUAUCCAUGAAGGACAAAGUCUAUGCAUGCGUGAAGCGUGGUAGACCAAUCGGUUCCAAAUUAAAUAAUACUUGAGAAUGAUUAGGAGUAAAUAAUCAUAAUAAUAAGACACUAUGCUUUGAAGAGUCUACGACAUAACACUUCAUGAAACCUUAUGAUAGGUUCAGGUACCUGAAAAUAAUAAAGUGAUGAGAUCUCAAAAUAUUAUGUCACAUUGCGAACCGAUAUAAAAUGAGAAAUCGUCGACGAUAUCUUUGAUACAAUAUUGGCGUAAUAUUGUGAAAGAUUAUGAGGAUCUGAAUUCUAUGUUAAUUUAAGCAUGCUGACGUAGAAACAUUUAUCAAGUGACAUAAAAGGAUGGAUCUUCGUAAGCAUGAAAGCAUCUCAAAUUAAGCACAAGUGCUCUUAUUUUGUGUUUCUAAAGGACAAAGUCUAUGCAUGCGUCAAGCGUGGUAGAUUAAUCGGUUCCAAAUGAAAGUCCUUGAAAAAUAAGGAGCAAAAAAUCAUAAUAAGAAGGCAAUGAUGAGCUCUUGAAGAACCUACGACAUAACACUUCAUGAAAAACCUUAUGAGAGGUUCAUGUACCUAAAAAUAAUGAAGUGAUGAGAUCUCAAAAUGUUAUGUCAUACUAUAAAUCGAUACAAAAUAAUAUAUCAUCAGUAAUAUCUUAGAUACAAUAUUGACACAAUAUUGUCAAAGAUUAGGAAGAUUUGAAUUCUACGUUAAUUUAAGCAUGCUGACGUAGAAACAUUUAUCAAGUGAUACGAAAGGAUGCAUUUUGGUAAGUAUAAAACUUAUUUGAUUUGCAGUCCAGACACUUGAAGAUGUCGCACUUGACAUAUUGGAUAUUGUCACUUGACAAAAAUCCAUAUGAAAAUCUCUAAAAGAUUCAAAUGCUUGAAGCAUAUAAAGUUUUUGGGAAACUUUUUAUUAUCUUCAUUAGAGAUAAUUUGAUGAUUUGAGUAUCAUUGGAACAUUUGGAGAGUUUUCAAAAGUAAUAGAAUUUUUGAUUAAAUGAGAAACAUGCAAAAUUGAAUAAAGAUUCAUUCCGACCUUAAGAAAAGAAUGAGGAACUCCUUGAUUAUGAA